AUACGUAGGUGGCAAGCGUUGUCCGGAUUUAUUGGGCGUAAAGCGAGCGCAGGUCGGUUUUUUAAGUCUGAUGUGAAAGCCCUCGGCUUAACCGAGGAAGCGCAUCGGAAACUGGGAAACUUGAGUGCAGAAGAGGAGAGUGGAACUCCAUGUGUAGCGGUGAAAUGCGUAGAUAUAUGGAAGAACACCAGUGGCGAAGGCGGCUGCCUGGUCUGUAACUGACGCUGAGGCUCGAAAGUAUGGGUAGC
rnacentral:rRNA from 1 species